rnacentral:rRNA from 1 species
UAACCUGCCCAAGAGAUCGGGAUAACACCUGGAAACAGAUGCUAAUACCGGAUAACAACAGAUGAUGCCUAUCAACUGUUUAAAAAGAUGGUUCUGCUAUCACUCUUGGAUGGACCUGCGGUGCAUUAGCUAGUUGGUAGGGUAACGGCCUACCAAGGCGAUGAUGCAUAGCCGAGUUGAGAGACUGAUCGGCCACAUUGGGACUGAGACACGGCCCAAACUCCUACGGGAGGCAGCAGUC